ACUUUUCGGAGUUCAGUGGCGGACGGGUGAGUAACGCGUGAGAAUCUGCCUUUUGGUCGGGGACAACCACUGGAAACGGUGGCUAAUACCGGAUAAGCCUGCGGGUAAAAGAUUAAUUGCCAAGAGAGGAGCUCGCGUCUGAUUAGCUAGUUGGUGAGGUAAAGGCUCACCAAGGCGGCGAUCAGUAGCUGGUCUGAGAGGAUGACCAGCCACACUGGGACUGAGACACGGCCCAGACUCCUACGGGAGGCAGCAGUGGGGAAUUUUCCGCAAUGGGCGAAAGCCUGACGGAGCAAGACCGCGUGAGGAAGGAAGGCUCUUGGGUUGUAAACCUCUUUUGUCAGGGAAGAACACAAUGACGGUACCUGAAGAAUCAGCAUCGGCUAACUCCGUGCCAGCAGCCGCGGUAAUACGGAGGAUGCAAGCGUUACCCGGAAUUAUUGGGCGUAAAGCGUCCGCAGGUGGCACUUCAAGUCUGCUGUCAAAGACCGGGGCUUAACCCUGGAAAGGCAGUGGAAACUGAAGCGCUAGAGUGUGGCAGGGGUAGAGGGAAUUCCCGGUGUAGCGGUGAAAUGCGUAGAGAUCGGGAAGAACAUCGGUGGCGAAAGCGCUCUACUGGGCCACAACUGACACUCAGGGACGAAAGCUAGGGGAGCGAAUGGGAUUAGAUACCCCAGUAGUCCUAGCCGUAAACGAUGGAUACUAG
rnacentral:rRNA from 1 species